UGGGGAAUAUUGCACAAUGGGCGCAAGCCUGAUGCAGCCAUGCCGCGUGUAUGAAGAAGGCCUUCGGGUUGUAAAGUACUUUCAGUCGGGAGGAAGGUGUCAAGGUUAAUAACCUUGGCAAUUGACGUUACCGACAGAAGAAGCACCGGCUAACUCCGUGCCAGCAGCCGCGGUAAUACGGAGGGUGCAAGCGUUAAUCGGAAUUACUGGGCGUAAAGCGCACGCAGGCGGUUGAUUGAGUCAGAUGUGAAAUCCCCGGGCUUAACCCGGGAAUUGCAUCUGAUACUGGUCAGCUAGAGUCUUGUAGAGGGGGGUAGAAUUCCAUGUGUAGCGGUGAAAUGCGUAGAGAUGUGGAGGAAUACCGGUGGCGAAGGUGGCCCCCUGGACAAAGACUGACGCUCAGGUGCGAAAGCGUGGGGAGCAAACAGG
rnacentral:rRNA from 1 species